rnacentral:lncRNA from 1 species
AAGACUUGUUGAAAUUGGGUCCCAAAUGGGCUAAGAAAUCGGAAACAUUAAGUUAAACCACUAAAUGACUUAUCUAGUGUUGUUUGGGGUUAGAAUAUGUUAAAAUAAAAUAAAUAUGGUUGAUGAAAAGUGCUAGAGAUUUGUGAAAAGUGUUUAGCAGUGUGGAGAAAGACUUGUUGAAAUUGGGUCCAAAAUGGGCUAAGAACUC